CCUACGGGAGGCAGCAGUGGGGAAUAUUGCACAAUGGGGGAAACCCUGAUGCAGCAACGCCGCGUGAGGGAAGACGGUUCUCGGAUUGUAAACUUCUGUUAUUAGUGAAGAAUAAUGACGGUAGCUAAGGAGCAAGCCAUGUCUAACUACGUGCCAGCAGCCGCGGUAAUAUGUAGGUAGCAAGCGUUGUCCGGAAUUACUGGGUGUAAAGGGAGCGCAGGCGGGAAGGCAAGUCAGCUGGGAAAACUGCGGGCUUAACGUGUAGACUGCAGUUGAAACUGGUGUUCUUGAGUGAAGUAGAGGUUGGCGGAAUUCCGGGUGUAGCGGUGAAAUGCGUAGAUAUUAGGAGGAACACCGGUGGCGAAGGCGGCCAACUGGGCUUUAACUGACGCUGAGGCUCGAAAGUGUGGGGAGCAAACAGGAUUAGAUACCCUUGUAGUC
rnacentral:rRNA from 1 species